GCCGGGUGUGGUGGCGCGCACCUGUAAUCCCAGCUACUCAGGAGGCUGAGACAGGAGAAUUGCUUGAACCUGGGAGGUGGAGGUUGCAGUGAGCUGAGAUCACGCCAUUGCACUCCAGCCUGGGCGACAGAGUGAGACUCUGUCUCAA
rnacentral:sRNA from 1 species